GGUGGGGGCGGGGGGGGGUCACAGCCGCCUUCCUUUCUUCGGGGAAAGGAAAGCCCCUGCCUGUCGUGGGGUCUAAAGCAGACGUACCCAUUUAAACACUCCCUUAACGUGCCUAGUGUUUUCCUGUGGCUACUGUUUUACUGUGGGGAAAUGCACGGAGCCAGACAGUCUCCCAGCCUGCUCCUGCGCAUCCUCCCUAGCUUUCGUCAGGCCCUGCAGAGGCUCGUCUGCACAGCCUGCCCGGCUCCGUGAAAGACCGCCUCCCCGCCAAACGGCGCUCAGGAGAAGCACGGCCUACAACAAACAGCCGGUGGCACUGAGGUCACGCCUGUGCAGGGUGACUGGGAAGGAGCUGGCAGGCCGCGCGCACGCUCAGCGGCCCAUUGUGAGGAGCUCCUGACACCUUCACAAGGUCUGCACGCCCGCCGGCGAUGUCACAGCACCGCCAGGGCAACCCAGGGCCCCGUUGCCGGGCAGGCCUCAUUUGCGCACACAGCUUUGGGAGUACCAGCAGACAUGGCUGGCUGCUCUGCCUUGGUGUGCCUUCUCCUGUGUACUCUUCUUGUACACGGGGUCCCCAUACCUGGGGAAAGAGAGGCUUCGGUGCUGUCUGAAGGUACGUACUCCGACGCAAGACCUCCUCUCCCCCACUAACAUUGUCUAAGGGUGAAUCUCCAGGGGCAAGGCAGCGCUCCCACGGGCCCCUACCAGCACCUGGGGGCACAGGCAGAAUAGGGGGCUCCCUUCCAAAGCUGAGAACACUUGAGGAGGAGCUCUUCUGCAGAGACGCGGCUUUCCACAGCCUUCUGCGCCGCCCUCCUGCGCUGCCCACCCUGGGCACACACAAGCAUCUGCCGAGCCUCGGCCCAGCACAGAAGUGGGUCUCGCUCGUGACAGCAGGCUCCUGCUUCCCUUUCUCCCAGCGCAGGAAGGAGGGAGAGAGGAGGAGCAAAACGCACCAAAAGGAGCAGGGGGGAGAAGAGAAGAAUGGGGCGUUUUCUCAAUGCACGGCACCAAACUAGGAUACCACAUGGCAUCCCGCACGUGCUGGGAUGCCACGUCCCCACGGCUGUGAUGCGUGUGCCGCUGCGCUUGGGCUCUUCACGCUUCAGCCCUCCCCUUCCUACCUUUCACCUACCACAGCAUGCACGUUUAUAUUAAACGCUGAUCUCUGGCCACUGUUUUGCAGUACUCUCCCCCAAGGGUUCUGCAGAGGCUGACCCCAGCCCUCCAAAACGCAGAACUGUUGUCGUCAUCGUCGCCAACACUUUGACGCUCGUCAUCUUGACGUUGUUCUUUGCGUUCUGCGUUUGGCUCUACUACCGACUCAAGACCAGGAAAGAAAGGUCUCCAGAGGACGAUGCCGAGGCAUCCGCUUGCCACUACCGCUGCCACUGCGGAGAGCUUCACAGCAGCCUGCAGUGUACCUGCUCCAGGUGUGCUUCUCCGAGCGCAGCAAGCCUAGAGCUCUGCAACAUCUGGGGCAAUGAAGACGACAAUCCGUAUGGCGGCCUUCUCCCAUCCCUGCCUCCUACACCGGGCAUGGGAGAGUUCAGCAGAAGCUCUUCCAGUGACAGUGCCACCACGCAGGAGGAGAACACCGCAGAUGCAGGCGUGCCUGGCACAGGCAGGCUCGAAGCACCAGCCGGCGACAAGGCCUGAACGGGUGGCAUCUCGGGCUGGGCACCGACACCAGGCCACGGCACCGUCCCUCCGCCCAGCCUGCCCGCACCGUGCUCCUCCGUCUCGGGCCGGUGCCAUCAUCGCGCCCGGCCACCUGCACGAGGAGGCCCCUGGGCAAUAAAGACGGAGAGGAGGCAGA